rnacentral:rRNA from 1 species
AGCGAACGCUGGCGGCAGGCCUAACACAUGCAAGUCGAACGAACUCUUCGGAGUUAGUGGCGGACGGGUGAGUAACACGUGGGAACGUGACUUUUGGUUCGGAAUAACUCAGGGAAACUUGUGCUAAUACCGAAUGUGCCCUUCGGGGGAAAGAUUUAUCGCCAUUAGAGCGGCCCGCGUCUGAUUAGCUAGUUGGUGAGGUAACGGCUCACCAAGGCGACGAUCAGUAGCUGGUCUGAGAGGAUGACCAGCCACACUGGGACUGAGACACGGCCCAGACUCCUACGGGAGGCAGCAGUGGGGAAUCUUGCGCAAUGGGCGAAAGCCUGACGCAGCCAUGCCGCGUGAAUGAUGAAGGUCUUAGGAUUGUAAAAUUCUUUCACCGGGGACGAUAAUGACGGUACCCGGAGAAGAAGCCCCGGCUAACUUCGUG